rnacentral:rRNA from 1 species
AUUGAACGCUGGCGGAAUGCUUUACACAUGCAAGUCGAACGCGUGUAGCAAUACACGAGUGGCGCACGGGUGAGUAACGCGUGGAUAUCUGCCUUUUGGUUCGGAAUAACCCCGGGAAACUGGGGCUAAUACCGGAUGGUUCCUUCGGGAUAAAGAUUUAUCGCCAAAAGAUGAGUCCGCGUACGAUCAGCUAGUUGGUGAGGUAAUGGCUCACCAAGGCGACGAUCGUUAGCUGGUCUGAGAGGACGAUCAGCCACACUGGGACUGAGACACGGCCCAGACUCCUACGGGAGGCAGCAGUGGGGAAUAUUGGACAAUGGGGGCAACCCUGAUCCAGCCAUGCCGCGUGAGUGAUGAAGGCCUUCGGGUUGUAAAGCUCUUUUGGCGGGGACGAUGAUGACGGUACCCGCAGAAUAAGCCCCGGCUAACUUCGUGCCAGCCGCCGCCGUAAGAC